GAGGAAUAAGCAUCGGCUAACUCCGUGCCAGCAGCCGCGGUAAUACGGGGGAUGCAAGCGUUAUCCGGAAUCAUUGGGCGUAAAGCGCCUGUAGGUUGUUUAGUAAGUCUGUUGUUAAAGACUAAGGCUUAACCUUAGGAAAGCGAUGGAAACUACUAGACUUGAGUAUGGCAGGGGUAGAGGGAAUUUCUAGUGUAGCGGUGAAAUGCGUAGAUAUUAGAAAGAACACCAGCGGCGAAAGCGCUCUACUGGACCAUUACUGACACUCAGAGGCGAAAGCUAGGGGAGCAAAAGGGAUUAGAUACCCCUGUAGUCCUAGCCGUAAACGAUGGAUACUAGGUGUUGUGUAUAUUAUACAGUGCCGUAGCUAACGCGUUAAGUAUCCCGCCUGGGGAGUACGCUCGCAAGGGUGAAACUCAAAGGAAUUGACGGGGGCCCGCACAAGCGGUGGAGCAUGUGGUUUAAUUCGAUGCAACGCGAAGAACCUUACCAGGGCUUGACAUACUGCAAAUCUUUUUUAAACGAAAGAGUGCCUUCGGGAAUGCAGAUACAGGUGGUGCAUGGCUGUCGUCAGCUCGUGUCGUGAGAUGUUGGGUUAAGUCCCGCAACGAGCGCAACCCUCGUUUUUAGUUACCAAUUUAUUGGAAUCUCUAGAAAGACUGCCGGUGACAAACCGGAGGAAGGUGAGGAUGACGUCAAGUCAGCAUGCCCCUUAUGUCCUGGGCCACACACGUGCUACAAUGGCAAAGACAAAGAGUCGCAAACCUGCAAAGGCUAGCUAAUCUCGGAAACUUUGUCUAAGUUCGGAUUGUAGGCUGCAACUCGCCUGCAUGAAG
rnacentral:rRNA from 1 species